rnacentral:rRNA from 1 species
UGCGUAGGCGGAUCAAUAAGUCAGUGGUGAAAUCUCUCGGCUCAACCGGGAAACUGCCAUUGAUACUGUUAAUCUUGAGUUCGGUUGAGGUAGGCGGAAUGUGUAAUGUAGCGGUGAAAUGCUUAGAUAUUACACAGAACACCAAUUGCGUAGGCAGCUUACUAGACCGACACUGACGCUGAGGCACGAAAGCGUGGGUAGCGAACAGGAUUAGAUACCCUGGUAGUCC